rnacentral:rRNA from 1 species
CCUACGGGGUGCAGCAGUGAGGAAUAUUGGUCAAUGGACGAGAGUCUGAACCAGCCAAGUAGCGUGAAGGAUGGCUGCCCUAUGGGUUGUAAACUUCUUUUAUAUGGGAAUAAAACGUUCCACGUGUGGGAUUUUGUAUGUACCAUAUGAAUAAGGAUCGGCUAACUCCGUGCCAGCAGCCGCGGUAAUACGGAGGAUCCGAGCGUUAUCCGGAUUUAUUGGGUUUAAAGGGAGCGUAGGUGGAUUGUUAAGUCAGUUGUGAAAGUUUGCGGCUCAACCGUAAAAUUGCAGUUGAAACUGGCAGUCUUGAGUACAGUAGAGGUGGGCGGAAUUCGUGGUGUAGCGGUGAAAUGCUUAGAUAUCACGAAGAACUCCGAUUGCGAAGGCAGUUCACUGGACUGCAACUGACACCGAGGCUCGAAAGUGUGGGUAUCAAACAGGAUUAGAUACCCUAGUAGUC